UAGAAUUGUCUCAUGCCGCGCUUGAAUUCAAUGUAUUGUAAUACGAAGGUGGUAAAUUUAUAGAUGUAUUAUACUGGUCAGCAGUGAUUUCCGGCGAAACCGACGGACGGAGGCCUGUAUUUUUGUACAGGUGUAUUUCAGACAAAUACGCUAUUCCAAACAGGGCCUCAGUGGACUCUUGUUACAGGUCUCCCUUGUUCACACAAGCACGACAGCGAGAGGCAUCACAUACAAACGUACGAGCUGAAGAAAGAGUAGUAGUAAUUUUCGUUUAUACGUACCGAAUUACCACCGGUAAUACGGCAAUUAAUAGACGAUGAUGAACAGUUCCCUAAAAAAAGAAAGCACGUCGCCGGCCAGCUCGCCCACGUCCGUCCGUGCCNNNN
rnacentral:lncRNA from 1 species